CGCUCGGAGCUGAUAGUCUCCUCCACAGGCUCGCCGAGAAGCUCCUCCGACGGGUAAGGGAGGGAGGAUCCAGUUCCGAAGCUCUCGGAGCCGAUUGGGCCGUAGUCGGAGAAGGUGCGACUGGUAGUCAUAGAUCGGGAGCCGAUUCCGCCGCCGGAGUUAGGAAGUGAAGAAGAACGGGGGACGAGGCGGUUGCUGAGAUGAGAAGAAGAAGUGGAAGAAGAGGGACUUGCUGGUCUAUUGUUAGAGAAGGGAGAGCUGCUCCUUGUUCGAGAUGAGGAUGAAGCCAUCCACUGACCUAGAAACUCGCGGGUGGGGGAGGAGGUCAACUCCGGCGACUCGGUCCCGGAAUCGGUGAGGAGAAUCGAUUCAGGAAAGGAAGAGAAUGUGUCAGUGGGGGGAGCUCACAUGGCUGCUGGAGACUGAAUAAAUCAUUCUAACCUUCUCUCUCUCUCUCCUUCUUUCGGUUGCUACAUAAUAGUUUGGUUUCUACAUUUUCUGUAAUAAAUUAAGAACACCCAAGAAUGGAAUGUAACAUAACUACAUUUUGCGUUCACUUGCAAAAAGAGUACCUUUGAUUUGCCUUUGGUUAAGACGGAAACGCAAAUAGGCGAUCAGAGAUCUUUGUCCGGCAAAUUGGGCAUUCAGAGCAAGCGAGGGAACAUGAUUUACAUACUGUACAAAAAAAUAUGGAACAUCUUUUCAAUAAAGAGAGAGAACCAAAGGCUUCAUGGGGAUGAAGUUCUGACUUACAGCAGAAAUGGCGGCAAGGGAGUAAAAUUGCUGCUGUGGGAGACUCGAAACAUACUUUACAGAUGUGAGAGUUUGCGUCUCCAUUCGCUUGCGAUUUCAUCUCUUUCUCCUUCAUUUCUUGCGUUCGUGCCUGUCUCAUUGUUACAAGAUCUUGUUUCAAUAUAUGUGAAUUAAAACCAUGUACGAAGUGUAGUAAUUAAGCUCAUCUCGUUAUAUUUACCUUGAGACGAGCAACAAGAGGUUCCUCUUUUGGUGUCUCUUCGGUUUUAGCUACCACUACUACUUCAGGUUGUCUCGGUGCACUCGAGACUUGUCUCUCUUUCAGAACCGUGUUGCUUUGACUCUUCUCUAUUUGCCUUGCUGGGUCAGUGGCAGUUCCAUUGACUUCAGAAGAUGCACCAUUGUCUUUCUUCAACUUGGCAACAAGUACCCACAUGUUUGCCAAAUCAUUUUCUAGGGCUUCCUCUCUUCUCUUUGCUUCUUCUGCUUUUUUCCUGUAUUCUUCUUCUAUGAACUCUUUCUCUGACAGUGCAGACUCAAGAACCGCCUCUCGCUGUUUCCUUGCUUUCAACUCCAUUUUCAGAUCUUCCAGGUCGAGACUCCUUGAGUGAAACUCAUCUCCACUUGACCUACCCGAAGAGAUCCUUCCCUUUAUUCCUGACCUUGCCCCGUCGUUAUACUUGCGACUAUUAACUCCGUUCAUGGGGUUACGCGUUUGAGCCAAGUCUCUUGCAGCUGCUAAUUCUUUCUCGAGCUUUGUGUUUUGUAGUGAAAGUUUUGUUACUUCACUAGCCAGAUUUUUCAGCUCAACAGCAGCAGCAGAGGCUAGUUCCUUAGCGUAUGAAGCUUCUUCAGCUAGUUUUUGAUUUUGUACUCGUAAACCACUGUUCUCUUCCACGAUCUGGACAUGUUCUAGCUUCAAUUUCUCGUUCUUUAUCUCCUAAAAUAGAAGACAUAAACGUCUAUGUAAAAACAAGAGAUAAAAGUAUGUAACUAUUAACAGAGGAUCAAUUUUUUUUAUUAUUGUCUACGUUACGUGAUAUUAUCAUGCGGUUAUUUACUGACAUACUUACGAGAACGGAGAAUGUAUGUUUGUUUAUUUACCUGCGACUGUAUUUUCCUUUUUAGUUCAUCUGCAUACUCUCCAGAUGAUGCUGAUUUCUCACUAGAUACUGCUUUCAAACGUUGCUCUAGAAGGUUCACCUUUUCAUGUAGUUCUUUGUUCUCAGUGCACUACAUAUUUGGGAAAAGUGUGGUAAGAGGCAAUUUUCGCAGAACAGUGUUGAAAGGAUGAAAGAUAGUAAGCAAGAAGAACUGAGUAAAAAAAAAGAUGAGAACAAUGAACAACUUUAAAUGAAAAAAAAAGCUACCAACCUUCUUCUGUAGUUGUUCUUGAAGAAUGCAAUUAUCUGCUGAUUUGAUCUGUGCCAGAGGUAGAACCAAGUUAAACAUAUGGUUAUUUUAAGCAACCUUUGAUUUGGCUCUUGCAGUAAACAAGGCGGUAUUUUCAGUAAAAGAAUAAAUCUUCACCUCUAGUUCAAAGCUCUUCUCAUUGCACUGGGUCAUUAAACUCAUUACUUUCUGAAAACAAGAAAAGAACAUAAUAUCUUAGCUGAAAGGGUCCAAAGUCAUGUUCUCGCAGUGAAGGGAUGUGGAGAUUGUAUACCUGUUGCAUCUCAACCAAUGAUGCGUUGGCAAUUGAUGCUUCACCACUCUCAAUUAUUAGCUGUUCUAAAGCCCUCAUUUGUCCUUGCUUUUCUUGAAUCUCGCGUUCCAGAUCCUGUAUCUGUAUGAAUAAUUUGGCAGGUGAAUUAUUUAAGCAAAGUAAAAUAGACACUUCAGGUAGACAGUCAAAUACUCUUCUAAAAAAUCACAACAAAUAUCUUUGAAACGUGUUUCCGGUGGCAGAGUACACAAAUAUCAAAAGUAACUUUACCUGAGUUUGUGAGUUUUCCGGAUCAUUUACGGACUGGUCCACCAAACGCUUUAGAGUGCUCAUACUGAAAGCUACUUCGCCAGCAAGCAUCUUAACUUGUUCAACCAGAAGGUCAAUUUCAUCCGGCGUCAUGACACCCUAUAUGUGCCAUUGUCCCCCAACUAUUAGAUGCCAUUUCUGCAAUCAAUACAAACUUUGGGGUAGUCUACUCACCUGAGUAAUUUCUGCACCGGGUGAGUUUUCGCCAUUCAACUUGCUGGAAGAUCUCCGGUGGUUAAAACCUAAGGAACCAUCUGAUACAAGAGCCAAGGUAGAAGAUGGAGAUCCCAGGUUAUCGUUAUCCAAGAGCAGAGAAGCGAAUUUCUGAAAAGCAAAGAAAAAACAGAAUGAUUCACUGUGUGUUUGAAAUAGCUUCUGAGAUAAGGCAGCAACAUGCAGCAGUAGAGUAAAAAAAAAGAUAGAACGAUAAAUUACUUUCCCAGAAAAGAUGCCUUGAGUAAACAAAAUAUAUACUUAUUCAGAAGAAAAGAUGGCAAGAAUUUGUUUCAUUGCGGACACAUCACUGGUUUGAUAAGAUAACUUACGUCAUCAUUUCCCGCAGAGAGACUGCGCUGGUGAGUGGGUACGUCACCCAAAUAUCCAGUUCUAGAAUUCUUGGUAGAUACGAGUAUGAGCUUGGUAAGCUUUUGAAUUCUGCUCAUUAGAGCAGCUUUGGCUUCUUCUUCUUCCUCCAAUCUUGACUGCAUUUUCACUUGACCUUCUUCCAACUGUUAUAAUACAUAGAUAGGUAGUUCAGUCACUGCCAUUGGUACAUAGCAAAAAGUAUUCAGGAUAAAAAUGGUCUGAGGAAGUCAGAACCUGUUGCUUUAAGCUCAUCAACUCUUCAUGACUGACGCCAACAAGCGUACCUCUUCUUAGCUGAUCAAGUUCUAGUUUGAGAAUUGAGAUCUCUCUUUGAUAUUUCUUAAUUAGUGACUUCUCAUCUAUAAUCUGCUUUUAGGACAUUAUAUAUUAAUCAUUAAGUAGAAGUUCGAGCUUGUACCAUUGAGUAGAAGAGGUACUUUAUUGAAAAACAUGCUAAGAGAUCACCUGAUUGCGUGAAGCAUAGAUUUCUAUACUCUUUGCUCUGCUGGCGAAUUUCAAUGUAUUAUGAGUUUCUUCAUUACUGCUAGACGCGGGAGUAAUUGUACAUAUGAGCUAAAAAGGGAAAACAAAAUACUGAAUUAGUUUCUCUAUUGUUUUGGUGAAUUAGCGUGACUGCACUGCGUAGUGCGUACUACAGAUAUAUAGCCAAAAAUCCUCCGAAAGUCAACCAAGGAAAAUAAUAUAGUGAAACUGGAAAUAUCUAACCAGAGACAGAAUAGUCUUACCGAAACAUGCCCAUGACCACUUAGUGAUGAUUGCAGAAGACGAGUUAACUUAGAGUCACGAUAUGGAAUGUGAGUUGCCUUACCCUCACUAAGUUUUCCAAUCACCUUCACAAAUAAAACCACAAGGAAUAAUUUUAGUAAAAGGCAGUUCCAUCGCAAGGGUUUGAGACUUAAAAUGCUCUACCAUCGACAGACAAAAAGUACAAAAAAGGCAGCAUACUACUUAUCAGAAAGUCAAGCAUCAAGAGAUACUAGCACAAUAGAUCAUGAAAAACAGAAAUGUACUGAGAAUCCUAAGUGUAUUCCCAGCAACUGAAAAUUCUGUUAUGAUUCUUUAAUGACACCAAUGGGAUAUAGAAUCUAAUUAAAUUGUUCCUAUUAGCAAGUCCAGCAUUAUUCAGUAAUGAUGCUUUUGAUUGGCAUGCCAUCGUUACAUAUUAAAAAACAGAUAAUAAUGGAAGGAAUCCCCCGAAUUAAGAAAUGAAACCUACAGUUCCAAGAGUUAGAAGACUCUUGUUGAUGUAUGAACCCUCCUUCCUCCUCAAUCCAGUUGUCUCAGUUUUGGAACUCUCAGAACCAGCCAAGUCAAUCAAAUUCUAAACAAGAAAGAUAUACAGUUAGUCCCUUCUUGACAAAUGAAUGAUCUAUAUAUAAUAACUAAACGAAGAAGCACUUACGAGUUGAGAAAAAAUAACUCCAUCAUAUUCAUCUCCAGUAGCACUACUUUCAAUCAUCUGCAAACAUAUACAAAUUGGACUCAAAACAUGUAAUAAAGAGAGUUGUAAGAGCAAACAAAUAUCAUGCAGAGACACUUAGAAGAGCAAUACGUUACACUAUGACAAGUUUGGAUCUUGAAGACAUACCAGUGUAAAUAAAGUGUGACUUCUGCUGCUCAUCAAAUUGAAAUUAUUUGAACCAACGUGGCGAUGUUCUGUCAUAAAAACAACAGCAACACUAAGGAGAGGCAGGAGGGACAGAGUUCAGAACAUCAAGACAUGUGUCAAAGGUCAAGUUUUCUAAUUACCUUCUCCAGCUGCAAUGAAGGAUAGUACGUGACCAGGAGACAAAACAACUUCUUCCUUGAUACCCUCAACAUAAGUGCCCUAGAAAAACGAAUAGUACACUCUUUACUUAGCCAAAAUAAUUCUUAUAACAGGAGGAUAAAUAUUUAAGCUAAUUCGUUCUAAAUUAUUCUAUUUAGACCAUGAUGCUAUAAAACUGUACGUGCGUGAUAGAGAGAGAAUGAUAAAUCUAAGCAUUCAUUCAAUAGUGGUUAAAGCAAACCUGGGAAUCCUCUCUAACUCGUAAGUUUUGGCCUGUUGGAUCCAGUAAAUCAUUUAUCACCUGAUACAAGGACAGUAAUCAGAUAAACUGUAGACAGAUGAAACAGACAAACAAUCAAGUAAGAGUAAAGAGAUGACUCAAAUUUAUAUAAUUUAAGCAGUUGACUUCCCAGUGAUAAGGUAAAGGGCAUGGAAACAAAUCGCAGACUACUUUCCAAGGCUUAGCAAGUUAUGUAUCAAGGAGAGAAAGUUGGACUAACCUCGUUGUAUAUUUCAAGAUACGAAACACGGAGCAGGAACUCCCUUCCUGGAGUCUGAAAGAUAAUGACGUAGCCAAUUAGGGAAGAUGAAGUAAGUCAUAGGAGAAAAAAGAGAUGAAGACCGCUUACAUCCUGGAUGAUACUGAACACGUCUUUUAUUGCAAGCGGUAUGAUCCCAGGAGAUUCUUGAUCACCCUAAGCAUAUUGCAAUCAAAUGGAAAAACAAAAGGAAUAUCAUUUGUUUGGAUGGGAAUUUAAAAUCUAACAGAAUACCCAGAAGAAGAUAUCGAAGAAAAAAAGUCGUACAUGCAUGGUAUGGGUCUUUCCACUGCUUGUAACACCAUAGGCAAAAACGGUUCCUGCCAAAUUUCCAAAACAGUGAGUCAGUCAGGCUAUAAACAAUACUAAAUUGAAGGCAGCAAUGUUGGUUCCAUACCGUUAACACCUUCCAUGGCAGCCUUGACAACGGGUCUUGCAGCAACGUCAUAAACGUCCAUAGUAUUUGCUUGUGGUCCAAAUACUUUAUCUGACAUCCACAAAUUUGGAAAAAAUAUUCACUCACCACUAUAAUCAACUUGAACAAUAAUUAUCAUUUAAUAAAAAAAAAAGAGUUGGAAGGCGGAGAAUACCAAAAGCGUAGGCAGUGAGGGGAUUGUACUCGUGCCUGACCAUGGUAUCUCCAUCAGGAUACCAAGCAACUUCAUCUCCUCUUUGAUACUCUCUAUCACUGCAAUUUCAGAAUCCCAAUAAUUGAGGCAUUCGAAUAGCAUCUAGAUCUGGUGUAGGGCGAUCAGAUCUAAUUAAUAUACCUCAAAGGUCGAAAACGAACGGUGACGGAAAUGCUAUCCCGCUCGGAGCUGAUAGUCUCCUCCACAGGCUCGCCGAGAAGCUCCUCCGACGGGUAAGGGAGGGAGGAUCCAGUUCCGAAGCUCUCGGAGCCGAUUGGGCCGUAGUCGGAGAAGGUGCGACUGGUAGUCAUAGAUCGGGAGCCGAUUCCGCCGCCGGAGUUAGGAAGUGAAGAAGAACGGGGGACGAGGCGGUUGCUGAGAUGAGAAGAAGAAGUGGAAGAAGAGGGACUUGCUG
rnacentral:lncRNA from 1 species